UUUUUAUCAAUUAGAUACAACACAAUGCAACCCCACUGACAUGGCAGAGGGAAUGUCCGAGCACAUGGACGCAGAAGACACAGCAGUUUGCAUCCAGAAGAAGUCAGUGGAACAGAUCUUUGAAGCCAUGUGUGGAAAUGGUGCACAGCAGAUGGAAGGAGAGUCCUCAGAAACAGCCACUAAUGUAGCCAUCGUGAUGACUGCAGAUGAAGAUGGAGGCAAUUUGUGCUGUAUCUAUCGCAUCCAU